UACGAAGGAUCCAAGCGUUAUCCGGAUUUAUUGGGUUUAAAGGGUGCGUAGGCGGGCUAUUAAGUCAGUGGUGAAAGCCCCAGCUUAACUUGGGAACUGCCAUUGAUACUGAUGGUCUUGAGUACACUUGAGGUGGGCGGAAUGUGUCAUGUAGCGGUGAAAUGACUUAGAUAUGACACAGAACACCGAUUGCGAAGGCAGCUCAC
rnacentral:rRNA from 1 species